GCGUCUGUAGCUCAGUUGGAUAGAGCACUGCCCUCCGAAGGCAGAGGUUUCAGGUUCGAAUCCUGUCAGGCGCG
rnacentral:tRNA from 1 species